CAGCACUCCCUUGUGUUUGUGUCUGUUUGUCACCCUUUUUGUCCCCAACUCCUUGCUCACCUGUAACCAGAACCCCUGAUUUCUUCCGCAGAUUGAGAGAGACUAACUGGGGCCAGUCUGCGGCAGAUCAGCAGUCCAGUUCAGUAGAGUCAGGAUAGCAAACACAAAUCAGCAGUGGUGGCACUGCCUAGCAGAGACAGCCAGGUCUCAGCCUCAGAGAAAGUCAGCAGGAGGGACCCAGAGGGGCCAAGAGAAAUUUGCUUAUCCUCUCUCAGCAAAGCAAAGACUCCAGACCAACCAGUGUAGCAGCUGGCUCUAUAAGCAAGCCUAACUCAGCCUCCAUCACUGUGUGUUCUAUUUAUAGCCCUCCAAACAUCACAUGUCCUUCACGUGUCUUGCCUCAACACAUGUCUUGCCUCAGCACACGCAUCUGUCUCAGCUGACAUCACUCUGCCAAUCAGCCCGAGUCCUCAGAAGCAUCAAGAAACUGCAGCACACCACCAGAAAUUUUUUGGUGAAUUACCCUCUAUGGAGUCAUGACAAAUGCAGCUCAACUACACAAUAGUACAAUAUACUACUCGUGUGUUUGUGGUAAUGCUCCUGUAAACAUACCAACUGAACUCCCCAUUGUGUGAAACCAUAACACAUAAGCUUGGAUACAAACUAUUGGUACAGCAUUUACUUAGAAUGCAUGAAGUCCUGGAUCCUGCCUACAGCAAGGCAAAACUUACGAGGUGAGAAGAUCUCUCCCACCCAUUCUUACCGUGAUGAUAAACUAUGCUGCUACACAGGCUCAAAGCAAGAAGGCCCAAGACCACACCUGAGGCUGAGUUAAAGCAAACCAUUCCACUUUUAGUUGGACAGAAGCAUAAUUAGUGCGAGUCCUCGAACCUUGGAGAGCACCAAGCCCAGGCCUCCAUUUCCCUCGCCCCAGCCAGCUCAAGCGUGGGAGGAUUUCUCUUGGAAAAAAAAAGAGUGGAGAGAAAGAGGAAAUAAUAAAUGAUAAGUUGACAGUGAGGCUUGUGAAUUCUACGACAGAAACACUGUCUGCAAUGGCCUAGUUUCAUACUAUACAAACUGAUGGAUGAUCUCACACUUCUGAGCCAUGACUUCUGUCACGUUGCAAAGGAUAUGCUCUUAAAUGGGCCUGGUGACCUGUGGGAUUAACAACCUGUGUUGAACUUGGCCCAUGUUGUGGAAGGAAGGGGCAAAGUGGGGGAGGAAACCAGCACAGCGCCUGUGGAAAUUCUUCUUCACACUGAGAAUGGCCAGGACGGAAGAAACACGAGGAAGCUCUCAGAUCUGACUUGCAUGCCUGAGGCAUGAGCUAGGUGGAAACUUCAGCUCCAGUAGGAACCAUUGCUACCCGGAAGGACUAUUUGGGGCUAGCCUAGACCUGAAGGAAGAUUAACGACUUCACCUGGAAAUUCUCCCCUUGAAUUAACCAAAAUCCGCUGCUGCCAAGAGUCUGUCUUUCUCAGAGGAAAGUUGGCAAGAUGCGCCACCCUUAGAGUGACCCACAUGCUUGCUGUGCUCCUGGGUCUUGCCUUUCCUCUUUGUUCUGAAGGUUUUAUAUAUUACCUUGCAGGAAGGCUAAUCUCAGGGCGGAGUUCUUUCCCUGGUACAAGGCUUUGUUUCCACUCUAGGCCAUUACUGUAGGAACUUUUUACAAUUUUAAACAUUGUCAUUGUGUGUCUGCAUUCCGUUAUACUGCACUGCCCUGGUCCUCCGCUGCUCCAGUGGGUGUGUUUGGUGGGGGAAUUCUUUGAGGUUUGUGGAGAGCAUUUUGGAGAAGUGUAGUUAGAUAAUGUCCUGGUUCUCAGGGAUCCUUUUUUAAAGCAUUGCCAUUUUCACAUUAAUCAUCCUGUUUCUGAAGCACAGACAAAAGUUUCACAGCUUUUCUGCUGGGUCUGGGGAGGGGCUGCUUCUAGGAGUGCUCCUCCAGUCUGGAGAGGCAGCUUCGGGCUGAGUUGUGGGGGCGGUGUGGAAAAGCUUUUGGCUCCUGAAUUACAAUAAGGAUUUGAAUCAAGAGAGCCCACAAAGAUUCUGCCCAGAAAGCUGUUCCACUCUCAGUUUCUUUUUUGGGAAGUGAGGCCCCAAGUAUUAAUGUCUUACCGCCCCACCCCCCCCACCCCCACCCCCGAAUUCAUUUUGCAAGUGGAGUACACAAAGAGGGGAGACUUGGAAAGUUCUUUCCCCGGCCCCAUCUUCACCCCUACCCUAUAACUUAAGUUCUCAGGAGUUUGAGGAGUCUGUGCUGACUUCCUGUGAUACUGUUUUCUUUUUAAUUUUUAAAUGUGCUUUAACUUGUGUGUGUUUGCUUGCACACAUGUGCACACACAUGAGUGCAAGUAUUGGAUAGGUGUACAAGGGUACCAGAGGCGUCAGAUCUUUCUAAAGCUGGAGUUAGAGGCUGUUGUGAACUGCCCAAUGUGGGUGCUGGGAACAGAACUCUGAUCUUCUGGAAAAGAAGUGAUCUUCACUGCUGGUCUCUAUCUCCAUCUCUGCCCUGCUCCACCUCCACUUCUGCUUUAAGAACUGGAAUGUUCUGCCGUUCUCCUAGGCUGGUUGGAAGAACUUGUUUACUUGCAAAGGCCCCCGUCAGCAUCUUUCUGGCCAAUGUUCUGUUUUCUCAGCUUUCUCUAAUGUCUAGCCCCAGGUCCUAGAAUCAGUCCUGAUGAUGAAAAGAUGACUGUAGACUUCAGCAGUAUUGAAUGAAGGAUGUCAAGACUUCUAUAGACUCAACAUGCAACACAGUGCCAUGUCUGCUAACCUUUCAGGACCAACUGUCCUUUGUUGUCCUAUGACUCCUGACUUCUUGCAUGCCCUCCAGCCACUACAUCCUGAGCUAUACCUGUGCCUCUCAUCCACCAAGGCCACUGGCCUGUUCUGCCACCUCUUUCUUUAAUAGUGUCAACUAAGCCCUAUCCUGCCCUGAGCCCCAGCCUGCUGGAUGGAUUUCUUCACACCACUGUGGUGAGUUCUGUUGGACUGGCCUCGUGGGGCUCACUCAUGUGUACCCGACUGAGGGUAUGCCUGGGUUUGCCACCAUAUUGAUGGCUUUUUGCAUCCUGCCUGAAAGGCCCUUUGGUACAGUAUCUCAAGCCAAUGGUUAAACCACGAGGGCUGUCGGCACCUAGCCAGGAAUGGCGUGUUGCAAGGAAUUCAGACAUCCCACCAAGCCUUGUCUCGGGAACCCAAUGUAGAAUGCUUUAUAUAAGUAUUCUCAUUAUGUUUUGAAAAUGUGUGUAUGUAGAUGCUUCUGUAUCUAAUUUAAUUAGAGAAGGCUCUAUUUAAAAGCAUGACUGAAUUCAUGACAGCUUUUUAUCACUGUGCGUCUUCUCCAUUGAUCAGUGGGUGCCAAAAAUACAAGCGUAACAACAUAAGAUGAAGUCGAAGCUGAGAGCCGGUCUGUGUUUGUCAUUUCCCUCCCUCACCGCCCUCAGAGGUGCUGAUUUCCUUGGGUUGCAACAUUCUGCCCGCAGUACAGAGCUCCUAAGACAUCCUUUAUUCUGGACUGGCGAGAUGGCUCAGUGGGUGAAAGUGCCAAUCACACAAACCCGAUGACCUGAUUCGAUCUCCAGAUCUUACAGCAGAAGGGGACAGUUAGCUCCGACUUCCCGAUGCAGGCCGUGGCCGUACACCCAUGAGCCCACGCAUGCAUGCAUGCACGCCCACACACACAUUUUUCUACAUUAAAUGCAAAGCUUGCUGAAAAUUUUCCUUCUAGGUACAGUUGGCAGGGGUGUCGGGGUGAAUCCCUGCUGAACAAUUGCCACAGUUGUCUACAGAUGUUAUCCUGUCCUGAGUUAGGGUACCUGCCACAGCUGCCUCCUGGUAAGGGCUCCAGGGAGGGACAACUAUCGACUGGAAGUAUCCCUCCGAGAAGGCUCCUGCCUAGUUGCCUGGUCUCUGGCCUAUGGUACUGAUGAAUGGGUCCUUUGAAGGUAGGCAGGUGACACAUCACUGUCUUGGCAGUGUAGGGGUACUGAGAUCCCAGCACUAUCCUCUCUCUCUAGUUUUACUUCCUGAGUACUGUGAGGUGGCCUGACCUCUUAUGAUGUUCUGUGCUACCAUAGGCCCAAAGCAACAGAACUAAGCAAUGAUGGACCAACGCCUCAAACCAUGAUCUACAAUAAUCCAUUUCCUUCUUUUAGUUAGUUGAUCCUCUCAUCCAUGACUUUGGAGCUGAGUGACAAUUUGCCCUGAAAGCAACAUAACCUUCCGAUGGCCCUCUGAGGUUACUGUUGUGGGUCAAGGCUAUAGCAGAGGAAAAAGUGGAGAAGUCUCUCUGCUUCUCCCUCUCAGGCCCUGAGAAGCUGUUGAAGGGGACUGUCUGACUGCCCUGCCUCCUCACUGAGGAUGGGGAAGACUUGUGGAAAUGGAGCCUAUGUCUGAGAACCAAAUACGCCAUGGGAAAGAUGAACUUGGUAAGACCAUUUAAUUGACACGGGUGAGUUGCCCUUGGCUAGCCUGUGCUGGCUCACAGAGUAAGUGCGCCAGAGCUAGCCCUUUUGAGAAAUCAUAAGCAGCAGACAACAUUGGGCGUGGCACCCCCCCACACACACCCCCUGUGUGCCCAAGGAGGAAACUUCUGUGCUCGGAGACUCCUGUCACAACCAGUUCCCCGUGAAUCCUGCCUGCCAUAAGUGCUUUACCACAGCUCAAGACAAGGAUCUGUACCUUCUUGUGUACUGUGGGAACAGCUUGAAAAAAGGAAUGAUGCCUGCUGUUCUCAUGGUGAUAACAACUCUCCCCCAGAUGUCAGGGGAGGGGUUUACCCAGAGCUAGAAACUGUGUUUUGUAUUAUGGAUUCCUGUACAGUAAAGACAGUCAUGGUGCAUACCUCUGCAGCCUGUGGUCUGAAGGAAAGUACAGAGGGGAAAGUAAAUAAAUGCAUAUGUAAUUACAUAUUCUGAGAAGGAAGUGCACUGUGCACAGGGAAAGGCCGAGGAGUCCUUUUAGAGAGCGUGGGGAGACUGUUUGUAAGGAAGUGGUAUUUAAUACUUAGUUAUGCAGGAUCAGAAGGCACCAGCCUCUGCCUGCAUGUGGGGUUAAGAGUCAUUUGUGCUGAGAGAGAACAAUGUUCCAAUGUCCUGUGGUAAGAAAGCACCUUCUUCCGUGAGAACUUUAAUAACCUUAUAGAGAGGAGGCCGGAGGAGUUACCUCUCCCUGACAGUCAGUGCUGGGAGGAUUGCCCACAUGAAGACAGAUUAAUCGAGUAGUAGAAGUUAACUAGAAAUUGUGAGCUUAGUCAAAAGUUAUUGUAUCAAACAUAGGUACAAAGCCCCGGGAGUCUCACUAAAUGGGCUGACCUUGAAUUUUACUGCCAUCUUUCCUAUUAAGACUUCCAUUAGAGGUGUGCUUCCCUUCACUACAGAUGGAUUAUCAGGACACCUGCUUUAAAACAAAAACUGAGAGGGAAAAAGAGAGAGAGAAAGA